rnacentral:rRNA from 1 species
CAGUCGAGCGAACACUCUGCUUUGAUUCUUUCGGGAUGAAGAGCAUUGUGACUGAGCGGCGGACGGGUGAGUAACGCGUGGGUAACCUGCCUCAUACAGGGGGAUAACAGUUAGAAAUGGCUGCUAAUACCGCAUAAGACCACAGCACCGCAUGGUGCAGGGGUAAAAACUCCGGUGGUAUGAGAUGGACCCGCGUCUGAUUAGCUAGUUGGUGGGGUAACGGCCUACCAAGGCGACGAUCAGUAGCCGACCUGAGAGGGUGACCGGCCACAUUGGGACUGAGACACGGCCCAAACUCCUACGGGAGGCAGCAGUGGGGAAUAUUGCACAAUGGGGGAAACCCUGAUGCAGCGACGUCGCGUGAGCGAAGAAGUAUUUCGGUAUGUAAAGCUCUAUCAGCAGGGAAGAAAAUGACGGUACCUGACUAAGAAGCCCCGGCUAACUACGUGCCAGCAGCCGCGGUAAUACGUAGGGGGCAAGCGUUAUCCGGAUUUACUGGGUGUAAAGGGAGCGUAGACGGCGAGGCAAGUCUGAUGUGAAAACCCGGGGCUCAACCCCGUGACUGCAUUGGAAACUGUUUUGCUUGAGUGCCGGAGAGGUAAGCGGAAUUCCUAGUGUAGCGGUGAAAUGCGUAGAUAUUAGGAGGAACACCAGUGGCGAAGGCGGCUUACUGGACGGCAACUGACGUUGAGGCUCGAAAGCGUGGGGAGCAAACAGGAUUAGAUACCCUGGUAGUCCACGCCGUANACGAUGAAUACUNGGUGUCGG